rnacentral:rRNA from 1 species
UACGUAGGUGGCAAGCGUUGUCCGGAAUUAUUGGGCGUAAAGGGCGUGUAGGCGGUAUAAUAAGUCUGAUGUGAAAUCUCAUAGCUCAACUAUGAAACUGCAUUGGAAACUGUUAAACUAGAGUAUCGGAGAGGAAAGCGGAAUUCCAUGUGUAGCGGUGAAAUGCGUAGAUAUAUGGAGGAACACCAGUGGCGAAGGCGGCUUUCUGGACGAUUACUGACGCUGAGGCGCGAAAGCGUGGGGAGCAAACAGG